rnacentral:rRNA from 1 species
GAUGAACGCUGGCGGCGUGCCUAAUACAUGCAAGUCGAGCGAACAGACGAGGAGCUUGCUCCUCUGACGUUAGCGGCGGACGGGUGAGUAACACGUGGAUAACCUACCUAUAAGACUGGGAUAACUUCGGGAAACCGGAGCUAAUACCGGAUAAUAUAUUGAACCGCAUGGUUCAAUAGUGAAAGACGGUUUUGCUGUCACUUAUAGAUGGAUCCGCGCCGCAUUAGCUAGUUGGUAAGGUAACGGCUUACCAAGGCAACGAUGCGUAGCCGACCUGAGAGGGGUGGCGGCCCCACUGGAACCUGAGACACGGCCCACACCCUCCGGGGGGGCGCAAGGAGGGACUCUUCCGCAAGGGGCAAAGGCUGGAGGGAGCACCCCCGGGUGAGUAAUAAAGGUUUUCGGAUCUAAAAACUCUUUAAUUAGGAAAGAAAAAAUGUGAAAGUACCUAUGCCCGUCUGCGGGUACCCUAAUCAGAAGCCCAGGCCAAACUCCGUC